rnacentral:rRNA from 1 species
GACGAACGCUGGCGGCGUGCUUAACACAUGCAAGUCGAACGAAGUGGCGAACGGGUGAGUAAUACGUGGGUACCCUGCCCUCCGUUUUGGGAUACGCCUAGGAAACGGGGUCCAAUACCGAAUAAAGGGGGCUGGGCUAGUGGCCUAUCAGGUUGGUGGUGGGGUGAUGUGCUGCCAAGGCGGUGACGGGUAGCCGGGCUGAUCGGUUGCACGGGCACAGUGGGACGGAGCUACGGCCCAGGGUCGUACGGGGGGCAGAAGUGGGGGAUAUGGCACAAUGGGCGAAGGCCUGAUGCAGCGACGCCGCGUAGGGGAUGAAGGCUUUCGAGUUGUAAACCUCUGGCGCUAUCGAACGGGUAGGUGGAGAAGAAGCGCCGGCUAACUACGUGCCAGCAGCCGCGGUAAUUC